UAUUAAGGGCGCACGGUGGAUGCCUUGGCACUAGAAGCCGAUGAAGGACGUUACUAACGACGAUAUGCUUUGGGGAGCUGUAAGUAAGCUUUGAUCCAGAGAUUUCCGAAUGGGGAAACCCAGCACGAGUUAUGUCGUGUUAUCUGCAUGUGAAUACAUAGCAUGCAAGAAGGCAGACCCGGAGAACUGAAACAUCUUAGUACCCGGAGGAAGAGAAAGAAAAAUCGAUUCCCUGAGUAGCGGCGAGCGAAACGGGAAGAGCCCAAACCAAUAAGCUUGCUUAUUGGGGUUGUAGGACACUCUGUACGGAGUUACAAAAGAAUUUGUUAGACGA
rnacentral:rRNA from 1 species